AGACAACAAAAUGUUUAAUAUUAUUAUUUUGUCACCUUAGGUCGAUCGGUAUCUCACGUUUUUAAUUUAUUAAAAAUUUCAUUUCCUAAGUUUUUCUAGGUCACACCCAUUAUUUUUCCUGGGCCAUUAGCUCAGGUGGUUAGAGCGCACCCCUGAUAAGGGUGAGGUCCCUGGUUCAAGUCCAGGAUGGCCCAUAUCUCUAUGUUGGGGGUAUAGCUCAGUUGGUAGAGCGCCUGCUUUGCAAGCAGGAUGUCAGCGGUUCGAGUCCGCUUACCUCCACUGAUUACCACCUCUUCCAUAAUCGGUAGAAAGGAAAUGUUUUGAGUUGUGAUCAAAUUCUGAAGGAAUCUAGCCUCCUAAUGAAACCAUUAAGAUGCUGGACUCAUUGAAUUAAUUUCAUUGUUUUCAGAGAACCUUGACAACUGCAUAGAUUAUUUUUAAAGACAAUAAGCAUCUUUAAUGAUGCAGAUUUAUUAUUUGUGCGAAUGCAUUAAUAACAAUUCUAUUAAGCUGAUGCUUCAAUUUUGAAGUUAUU
rnacentral:tRNA from 1 species